rnacentral:lncRNA from 1 species
UAUGCUAUCAUUUGAUAUGGACCGAACAUCCACAAAUCUUGAGAUAAUCAAGACUCAAUUUUUUACUAUGUCAUAACUCGUAUGGUGUGAUGGGAAUAAAUUUAAAGAGAACCCUAUUCAAAAGAUGAAUAGUAAAAAGUAAUGUAUGUCUCCACAAAAAAAUAGAAAGAUCUAUGAAGCUCAUCAUGGAUCAGAUCAUAUCUAAUAUGG